UACGAAGGGGGCUAGCGUUGCUCGGAAUCACUGGGCGUAAAGGGUGCGUAGGCGGGUUUUUAAGUCAGGGGUGAAAUCCUGGAGCUCAACUCCAGAACUGCCUUUGAUACUGAAGAUCUUGAGUUCGGGAGAGGUGAGUGGAACUGCGAGUGUAGAGGUGAAAUUCGUAGAUAUUCGGAGGAACACCAGAAGCGAAGGCGGCUCACUGGCCCGAUACUGACGCUGAGGCGCGAAAGCGUGGGGAGCAAACAGG
rnacentral:rRNA from 1 species